UUCCGCUGACGAGUGGCGCACGGGUGCGUAACGCGUAUAGAACCUACCUUCUGCAGGGGGAUAGCCCGGAGAAAUUCGGAUUAAUACCCCGUGGUAUUAUGAUCUGGCAUCGGAUUAUAAUUAAAGAUUUAUCGGCAGGAGAUGGCUAUGCGUCCUAUUAGCUAGAUGGUGAGGUAACGGCUCACCAUGGCAUCGAUAGGUAGGGGCCCUGAGAGGGGGAUCCCCCACACUGGUACUGAGACACGGACCAGACUCCUACGGGAGGCAGCAGUGAGGAAUAUUGGACAAUGGUCGAGAGACUGAUCCAGCCAUGCCGCGUGCAGGAAGACGGCCCUAUGGGUUGUAAACUGCUUUUGUACGGGAAGAAUAAUGCCCACGUGUGGGCAGAUGACGGUACCGUACGAAUAAGGACCGGCUAACUCCGUGCCAGCAGCCGCGGUAAUACGGAGGGUCCGAGCGUUAUCCGGAAUCAUUGGGUUUAAAGGGUCCGCAGGCGGAUCAGUAAGUCAGAGGUGAAAGUUUGCGGCUCAACCGUAAAAUUGCCUUUGAUACUGCUGGUCUUGAGUUACGGUGAAGUGGCCGGAAUAUGUGGUGUAGCGGUGAAAUGCAUAGAUAUCACAUAGAACACCGAUUGCGAAGGCAGGUCACUAACCGCCAACUGACGCUGAUGGACGAAAGCGUGGGGAGCGAACGGGAUUAGAUACCCCGGUAGUCCACGCCGUAAACGAUGGACACUAGCUGUUGGGCCGCG
rnacentral:rRNA from 1 species